rnacentral:misc_RNA from 1 species
AAGGAUCAUUAAAGUGCCAGCGGGACACCCCGCUAAAGGCCCCACACUUGUCUACCAAACUACGUUGCCUCGGCGGGACCGUCCCCUAGGGGACCGCCGGGGGGGACUUACCUCCCCCCUGGUCAGCGCCCGCCGGAGGACAAAUAACCAAACCUUUGUAACAGUGAGUUGUCUGAGCGAUUAUAUAAAUGAAUCAAAACUUUCAACAAUGGAUCUCUUGGUUCCG